GCCUGCAUGGCAGAGCCACCACAGAUUCAGCAAGACAAAAAGUGAAGACUCGCUUGCGCUCCCGCAGCUCUUCGGCCUAGCCGCUAAAGACCGACGAGGCCCAGGGCCCCCGCCCCAUCUGCCAUCACUGCAUUGGAGCCCAGGGUAACUCUACUAGUAGCAGUGAAGGUACAAGGGAUGACCACUUCUAAUGAUAAGAGAGCUCUGGUUCUUUCUGACCUUUACUCUCAUAAUCAGGCAGUAGCCAAAGUACUCUGAGGAAACCUGACAUUAUACAUGUGGUGCAAUUCCAUGGCCUAAAGUGACCUGAGUGUGGCCUGGCUGGAGAGGAUACAUAACUACCAUGAUACAUUGGUGAUGGUUAACUUCAUUAAAGAGCAUAGGUACAGAAUAUUGGGACAAGAUUACAACUGAACUAGACAGGAGCGAGUGCUUGGAGUUGGAUGCAGCAAAGUUGGAAACUGCUUUCUUUGGGUCUCUGCUUUUGGGGAGGUAAGU